rnacentral:rRNA from 1 species
UGGGGAAUUUUGGACAAUGGGCGAAAGCCUGAUCCAGCAAUGCCGCGUGUGUGAAGAAGGCCUUCGGGUUGUAAAGCACUUUUGUCCGGAAAGAAAUCCUUGGCUCUAAUACAGUCGGGGGAUGACGGUACCGGAAGAAUAAGCACCGGCUAACUACGUGCCAGCAGCCGCGGUAAUACGUAGGGUGCAAGCGUUAAUCGGAAUUACUGGGCGUAAAGCGUGCGCAGGCGGUUUGCUAAGACCGAUGUGAAAUCCCCGGGCUCAACCUGGGAACUGCAUUGGUGACUGGCAGGCUAGAGUAUGGCAGAGGGGGGUAGAAUUCCACGUGUAGCAGUGAAAUGCGUAGAGAUGUGGAGGAAUACCGAUGGCGAAGGCAGCCCCCUGGGCCAAUACUGACGCUCAUGCACGAAAGCGUGGGGAGCAAACAGGAUUAGAUACCCUGGUAGUCCACGCCCUAAACGAUGUCAACUAGUUGUGGGGAUUCAUUUCCUAGUAACGUAGCUAACGCGUGAAGUUGACCGCCUGGGGAGUACGGUCGCAAGAUUAAAACUCAAAGGAAUUGACGGGGUCAUAGCUGUUUCCU